AACAAGAGUGAGUUGCACAGAUUGUUGGAGCAAGCAGUGCAGUGGCACAGCAGCUUCAAUCAGAAUAUCCCUGAUGACAGACCAAAGUGCACAGGGGCCAUCUGACUCGGA